UACGUAGGGGGCUAGCGUUAUCCGGAAUUACUGGGCGUAAAGGGUGCGUAGGUGGUUUCUUAAGUCAGAGGUGAAAGGCUACGGCUCAACCGUAGUAAGCCUUUGAAACUGGGGAACUUGAGUGCAGGAGAGGAGAGUGGAAUUCCUAGUGUAGCGGUGGAAUGCGUAGAUAUUAGGAGGAACACCAGUUGCGAAGGCGGCUCUCUGGACUGUAACUGACACUGAGGCACGAAAGCGUGGCGAGCAAACAGG
rnacentral:rRNA from 1 species